rnacentral:tRNA from 2 species
CGGGGCGUGGCGCAGCCCGGUAGCGCACCUGCUUUGGGAGCAGGGGGUCGCCGGUUCAAAUCCGGCCGCCCCGA